ensembl:lncRNA
UGAAAAGGAGAAUGAUUUGUUUAUUUUUUUUACACACUGUAGUGAAUUACUUUUAGCACUGGGUGAGUCUUUGCACUGAUGGGAACCAUGUAAACGUUCAGAGAGAUUCAUUAUCACUUUGUCAAGCAUUUCCAUCCACUCAUGAAUCUGGUUACAAAUGAAAGAAAGAAUGAAAGAAGUAAAGGGACUGUUUUGCGCUGAGCUUACCUGGCACUUCUGCUGUGACGUGGUGCCUGUCAUCCUUUGAAUAUGUUUUCCAGCUGUUUCAUACUUGUGUCUCUCUAUACUUGAGGAGAGGGGAAAUCACACUGUCCGGCUUUUCAGCUGUUCUUGGUGUUAUCUGGACUAGUUUUAGUGCCCGGGAGGGAAUAUUGUUCCUUCAUGAAUUAUGAAACUCCCGUAUAGUUCAUGGUACUGUUGUGAGGUUGUGUGAAAUCUGCCACGUGGCCGUUCUGUUCUUGUCUUGGAGAUGUGGCUAUCUUUUGAAGAAAUCAUUAUUGACUAAAUGCGUCUAGACUUGAGAAAAUAAAACCACAGAACCUUAUCGUAGGGAUCAUCCUUACAAAUGCAUCACUAUCUCUCACAAUCCAUAAACCUAUGUACUGUGAAAUGAUGCUUUCCUACGAAUGAUCCCAGUGUGGGUUUCCCUUUGUUACGCCUUGAAGGUGAGUUUUCCUUUCAUACGCACGUGAAUAUCUACCUGCACAGAGGAGUGUGUGAAUAGCAAAGCCCUAGGGAGAAUUAAAUAACACUCAUCCCGUACUUCCAGUUGAUUUGCUUCCGAUGUGCCCAUUAAUCGACUGCAAGAGGUUCCUAUGAGACUUUUUAAAACUACACCUGAAUGUAAAGACUCCUUACGGAUGUGAGGUAUACUGUAACGUUUACAUUCAAACGGAUGGCUGAGGAUGAGACAAAAAAAAAAAAGUGUGUGGUAGCAAAGAGAGUUAUAUCUUGAUUUUUGCAUAGAGAUGUUUUCAGGCACUGAGAACGCGCCCGUGCGUUUGUGCUGUCAAAGAAGAAAUAAGCAGUAUGAGCGUUCCCGGGAUCAAAAAAAGAUUCAAUUGUAAAUAUUUGGCACUAGCACACCAAUCCAGAACAAGAAGAAAGCCUGAGGCGUUCUGCGGGAGCCAGUUACGGCAGCUGCCUCGGAGAGCCCUCUAUGAAUGGCUUUAUUGUAUUGCCCUCUACCGGAAUUACCGAGGACUGCAGACUGAUGCUCAGCGCGGAGAAAAAACUCGGGCGGGAGCUGCGUGAGACGGAUACAAAUACGGUGUUUCACACUGCUUGGCAGAACCGCAGGGUCGAAUGCUUCUGGAUUUGCAGUCCAAAGAGGGUCUCGGGUUUUGUUCUGUCUUACUGACUUUAGAGAAGAAUCCGUGUAUGCAGAAGUGAGACCCAAAGUUCUAAACUUGCCCAGAAAAUGGAUAACGUAUCCUUGAACUUUCAGGAAAAGAAAAAAAGAAAGCUUUCUGAGUUGCAGAGGUAGAUGGUUUCAGAGCUGAUGAGAGAACUGCUGUGUGAAACUGUGAGGAAAAGGUCUCUUUGGGUCCUGUGCCACAGAUUAUGAUUAUGAUUAUUAUUAAUUAUUAUGUUUGCAUUCAAAAAGAAUGCUCAGCUUUUCCUUACUGAUAGGCUUUUAUUAUUACUAUUUAUAUUCAUCCAGCGCUUGACUGAGACCAUUUUCCCCCUUAAAGGUGUAGGUCACUCAAUGCAUACUUGGUUACUGAGAUGUAAGGAAGAAAUGAAUCCCACAAAGGUGCAUUCUGAUCUUAAACCAAGAAAGGGAUUUUAAUGUUUGGCCCACCCUGAACCCACGGUGAAAUCUUCAGUGUUUCUCCCUCCACAGGUGCCUAAAUCCUACUGCUGUUAUACCACGAGCCUGUUAUUCCUGUUGUCGCAGCUUUGGUUGGAUGACUUGAACUUUUAAACUAAAUUAUAAAAAAUAAGUCAGAAAUGGACCGAAAGGAGAACUUUUACUCAUGCAGCUCUCACAUGGAAAGAUUGGCCCAAGGCACUGCUUAAAGAAAGUUUUGCAUGAAAUUAUUGAAAGUAUUUCAUUACUGUACAGGUGAAUUCACCGAUUUUACGCAUUGGAAUAAUCCCUUAGAAGAAAGCCUUCUUUCCAUACGAGGAAUUGGAGAAUGUGUGAGUUACUCGUGGCAGCAAGCUGAAGAUCUGACUCGUUUUGUGUAAAAGAUGGAAGAUCAGGUCACGACUCUCGGCCCGGUAAGGUGCAGCAGCUGUAGUUUUGUUCCACCCAUUUAACUCACAGGUUUUGUACUCUUGUUCAGCCUCAGCAAGGUCAUCCAAGCCUUUGAAAGGAAAAGAAAAGCAAUAUUGAAAGGACAGAUUUAAAGAACCGAGCUAAUAGAGUUUUGUAUUUG